GCCUACGGGGGGCAGCAGUGGGGAAUUUUGCGCAAUGGGGGAAACCCUGACGCAGCAACGCCGCGUGCGGGACGACGGCCCUCGGGUUGUAAACCGCUUUCAGUGGGGACGAUGGUGACGGUACCCACAGAAGAAGCUCCGGCUAACUACGUGCCAGCAGCCGCGGUAAUACGUAGGGAGCGAGCGUUAUCCGGAUUCAUUGGGCGUAAAGCGCGCGUAGGCGGCUGCCUAAGCGGAACCUCUAAUCCCGGGGCUCAACCUCGGGCCGGGUUCCGAACUGGGCGGCUCGAGUGCGGUAGAGGCAG
rnacentral:rRNA from 1 species